rnacentral:misc_RNA from 1 species
UCAAAACAGCGGACUUCGGUCUUUGCUGCACCCUUGUCUUUUGCGCACCGAAUUGUUUCCUCGGCGGGCUUGCCUGCCGGUUGGACAUUAUCAAAACCUUUUUGUAGUUGCAAUCAGCGUCAGGAAAAUCAUAAUUAUUA